ensembl:lncRNA
CUCCUAGAUGGUGUAAAGACAGGGUGCUUGUGUAUGGUUCUCCUGGCUCUAUUUGGAACAUACUCUAAGUGCUGGCUGCCACAGUGCAUAGAGGUCAGCAGGAGCUGAGCCCUGAGUUCCAGUUCCCCAUGAGUAGGGAGAAGCAUACACAAGUGUAGCCUGAAUAUAGGACCAGAGGUAGGCAUAAAAUCAUGAUCCAUGUAGCCUAGAUCAGUUUCUCUCCUGUGGGUAGAAUGAGGCCUGUUGCCUGUCUAUGGAGGUCAGCUGGAGCUGACCCCUGAGUUCAUGUCCCCCAUGAGUAGGGAGAAGCAUACACAAGUGUAGCCUGAAUUGGGGACCACAGGUAAGGCAUCAAAUCAUGAUCCAUGUACCCUAGAAAGUGCUCUCUACUGUGGGUAGAAUGCACUUUGAUGCCUGCCUGCCUAUGAAUGUUGCCUGUCUAUGGAGGUCAGCUGGAGCUGACCCCUGAGUUCAUGUUCCCCAUGAGUAGGGAGAAGCAUACAGAAGUGUAGCCUGAAUUGGGGACCAGAGGUAGGCAUACAAUCAUGGUCAAUGUAGCCUAGAUCAGUUUCUCUCCUGUGGGUAGAAUGAGGCCUGUUGCCUGUCUAUGGAGGUCAGCUGGAGCUGACCCCUGAGUUCAUGUCCCCCAUGAGUAGGGAGAAGCAUACACAAGUGUAGCCUGAAUAUAGGACCAGAGGUAGGCAUAAAAUCAUGAUCCAUGUAGCCUAGAUCAGUUUCUCUCCUGUGGGUAGAAUGAGGCCUGUUGCCUGUCUAUGGAGGUCAGCUGGAGCUGACCCCUGAGUUCAUGUCCCCCCAUGAGUAGGGAGAAGCAUACACAAGUGUAGCCUGAAUAUAGGACCAGAGGUAGGCAUAAAAUCAUGGUCAAUGUAGCCUAGAUUGAGCCCUCUCCUGUGGGUAGAAUGAGGCCUGUUGCCUGUCUAUGGAGGUCAGCUGGAGCUGACCCCUGAGUUCAUUUCCCCAUGAGUAGGGAGAAGCAUACACAAGUGUAGCCUGAAUAUAGGACCAGAGGUAGGCAUACAAUCAUGGUCAAUGUAGCCUAGAUUGAGCCCUCUCCUGUGGGUAGAAUGAGGCCUGUUGCCUGUCUAUGGAGGUCAGCUGGAGCUGACCCCUGAGUUUAAGUUCCCCAUGAGUAGGGAGAAGCAUACACAAGUGUAGCCUGAAUAUAGGACCAGAGGUAGGCAUAAAAUCAUGGUCAAUGUAGCCUAGAUUGAGCCCUCUCCUGUGGGUAGAAUGAGGCCUGUUGCCUGUCUAUGGAGGUCAGCUGGAGCUGACCCCUGAGUUUAAGUUCCCCAUGAGUAGGGAGAAGCAUACACAAGUGUAGCCUGAAUAUAGGACCAGAGGUAGGCAUACAAUCAUGGUCAAUGUAGCCUAGAUUGAGCCCUCUCCUGUGGGUAGAAUGAGGCCUGUUGCCUGUCUAUGGAGGUCAGCUGGAGCUGACCCCUGAGUUUAAUGUUCCC